rnacentral:rRNA from 1 species
GAUGAACGCUGGCGGCGUGCCUAACACAUGCAAGUCGAGCGGACGGACGAUACGCUUGCUUCGUGGAUGUUAGCCGCGGACGGGUGUAUCACACGUGUAUCCCCUCCCUAUAAGACUGAGAUAACUUCGGGAAACCGGCGCUAAUACCGUAUGAUCUUCUGAUCCGCAGUGUUCAAUAGUGAAAGACGGUCUUGCUGUCUCUUAUCGAUGGAUCCGCGCUGCAUUAGCUAGUUGUUAAGGUAACGGGUUACCAAGGCAACGAUGCAUAGCCGACGUGAGAGGGUGAUCGGCCGCACUGGAGCGGAGACGCGGUCCAGACUCCUGCGGGACGCAGCAGUAGGGAAUCUUACGCAAUGGGCGAAAGCCUGACGGAGCAGCGCCGCGUGUGUUGUGAAGGUCCUCGGAUCGGAAAAAUCGGUUACUAGUGAAGAACAGCUUUGGAAGUAAAUGUAGAGUGCGUGACGGUAAUUAGUCAGAAAGCCACGGCUAACUACGUG